AUGGAUGACGGCCCCAGCUGGUCGCUGUCGUCGCAAGUGUCUUCCGCGACGUCCUCACGACCCGUGGACGGCGGGCCGGCGGCGCCGGCGAGGAAGAGGAAGCCGGGGACGUGGAGGAGGCUCCCGCGCACCCUGCCGCUGGAAGUGGAGGUCAGGAUGAAGCUGGGUUCCAUAACGCAUGAGGAGCUGAGGCGGCAGCACCUGGCGCGCGCCGACGAGCUGGAGAAGAUGGACGACAGCGGGUGCGACACCGAGGAGGCCAAGAUCGCCUUCAAGGCGUUCAAGGAGGAGCAUGUUCGCUGGUACCGCAAGCUCGCCGAGGGCUGGCCGGAGAAUAUAGUCAUCAACUACAACCCCAAGCCCAGCGACACAGAGAAAGAGUACCUAACCGCUGAGGACAUGGAAGCACGCUUCGCUCAUCGUGACCCCACUAAGCUUCACCUAGAACAACUUAAACACUUUGCUAACCUUGCCUUGGCGCAUUACAAUGCCAGAAAGACCGAGCACAAAUUUGACAUUUCUCAAGCCUUGACGUCCAACUGCUUUUCCGAGGCAUGUGGGACAACAUAUGCCCAUGUUAACUUCACCGCCAAACCCCAGAAGAGUGAUGACCCUACAAAGAGGCUCUUCUUCGCUGAGCUCAUGCUCAUUCCAAAGCUCCAGCUGCAGGAAGAUGCCGAGCCUAUGCGUGUGCUGCAUGUCUCGAUUAUCGACGAUGCUCCUUGUUUCGGCGGUUGCCAUCAGAUAUAUCGGAAUAUCAACCAUAGGAUGAGGGGCCCCAUGGAUUAUGAGCGUUGUCAUGCGUGCCACGACAUUCUGAAACAUCCAAAAGGACAUAUGUUCAUCGGAGGGCAUGAUAGCACGAGGAUGCCCUACUUCUCUGCAACAUAG
rnacentral:rRNA from 1 species